GGCAGGAAUUUCGACACUCGUGCCCUGAUGUCCAAGAAAAAGUGAGGCGUCAUUUGCUCUCUUCCAAUUUGUGUGAACCAUUCUGCAACCUACGGAAUUUUGGAAGAUGAUGAACAGUGCGCCUGCCUGAAAGGCUACGGAUCAAGUUCUGGAAUUUGGGCAGCUAUUUUCCAGCCGGCACGGACUCCAUCUUCUAUGUCGUCAACUCUACGAUUCCUUGAAACUGGCAAGACGUCUGAUUCACACAACACAGUGGAAACCUGGAGCGAUCUCCCCAAAAGGCUUUUUGGAUGCUGUGGGUCAGUUGGUACUUUCACUGCCAUGUUCGAUAGGAAUUUUGGUGGGAGGGUUAAUGAGGGAUUUGGAGCAAAUGUGCAUAAAUUAAUCUGAGCACAGGCCUUCCCUGACUAACAAAUGGAUUCCAUUUGUACAGAUGUUGAUUUUUGUACGUCAGAAAAUAGACAAAAAUCACUAUGUUUACCAAUUUGUAAUGAAUGGCAUUAAAAAACACAUAAUGCUG